GCCUCGGUGGUGUAGUGGUAGCACGCGUCCCCGAUAUGGACGAAACUUGGGUUCAACUCCCAUCUAAAGUC